CAUGGUUUUUCUAAAAAAGGAAAAAAAGUACUAAUUAAAGGCCCGAUCCAGAGAGAUGCUGAGUGCCUGCAAAUCUUAUGUGAGCUGUGGAUGCUCAGCACUUCUUGGGAUCAGGCCUUACAUAGGAGAACUCUGAAACAUGCUAUAUAUGUUCAUAGCUAGCAUUAAAUGCCAUUUUAGUCUAUUUUAUAGUGCACUGGGAGGUGAGAAUAGAUGAUCUGGUGAUUCCUUCUGGCCAUAAAUUCUAUGACUGAGUUGUAUAUAGUGGUAAUAAAACAAAAGCAUCAGAGCACCAACUCCUUUUAAUAUAAGAACUGCUGCUUUUAGGCAUUGGUCCUGUAAAGCCCCUUGCACUUGAUUUCAGUGGGAAGUCCUUGCAGGAUUGGGGCCUUAGAGUGUUACCAUUGCUAUAAAUCACAAGAAAAUAAGUAUGAACUGUAUGAGUGUACCCAUGCAUUUCUAGGAGCCAUUCCUUUUGGCCUAAAACAGGUAAACUCAUAUAGCAUGUUUCAUCUGUAGCCACACCCAUCCGUAGCACCAUGAUCAGUUGCCUUUUGUUGUCUAUUUCUUAAUCUGAUUAUAAGGCACAAAUUCUAUUUAAUUUACUUUUAAGCUGUCAAGUGCAUGGCUUUUUUUACAUAUCUGUAAAUACCGUAAACAUUUAGAGUGCUAUGUAAAUGAUUUAAAAAAAUAAGUGAGGAAUGCCUGAGGCUGUGAGCAGUAUUGGACUGUGGUUACCAUCAAGAUUUAUUCCGAUUUGGAGAGAUCAUGUAAUCAGAGAGAAAAGCUUAUUCUAAUUCUGUCUUGUAUCCUUUUACCCCCAAAAUACGUAAAUGCCACCACUGACAUUAAUUUAACAAAUCCAUAAUUGUUUUGUUUUGUUCAUGUUUAGGGGUUCUAUGUUUAGGGCUAAGCCGGAAAAAUCCUUGAGGUUUUUAUUUCCCCCGUGCCUGGGCUUACUGCUGUUGACACUGCAACAAUCGUCAGUUAGAAGGCCAAUAGCUCAGUUCUUCUAUGCUGGCUUCUAACCAGAUAGUAAAUUAGGACUUAAACUAACCAUUAACUAUCCACUGCUGUUUUGUCACUACCACUGAGGAGUCUCUUGAGAUACUGCUGCUGCUUAGUAUUUUGAUAAGUUUUAUAGCUUCAUUUUAAAUAGAGAUGAAGCAUUUGCGCUCCUGCUACCCAUGCCAGAAAUCAUAUGCUAAUAUUGACGUUUAAAAAUCCGUGUAGAUGCUGAACAAGACAACACAAUAAGGCACAUUUUAAAUAUAUUUAAGUUAAAGAUGUAUUUCUAAUUUUUUAGCUUAUCUGUCUGGUUUAGGGUUUUAUGCUUCUGUCCACCAUCAUAGCACCUGGUGCCUUCUUUAUAAAAGCAAUAGCAAUCCACAUAUAAUUUCUGGUAGAAAUUAUUACUUGUGUGAAAACUCAGUUGUUUUUAUGUAAACUGAGAUGUCUACCCACUCUC